GUGGGGACUGAGUAUGUCAACAACUAUAGUGAGUUUAUUGUACUAUCCACAAGGCUUGCUAUAGUGAUUGGUAUGAUAUUGACUUAGUGAUGCUUAUGGCAUAUUCUGGUAGUGCUAUCUUGUUGUGCUAUCCACAAGGAUAGUAUUAUUCAAGUAUGACCAUAUAGGAAGGGUAUGACUUAACUAAAAUACUAUAGUUUGUUGUGUUAUCCA
rnacentral:lncRNA from 1 species